rnacentral:lncRNA from 1 species
GGUUGUCUGUAGCAGCAGAACUCUGGGGGAUUGGGAGGGGCUCUUCCGUUGUGAUGGUAAUUUGCUCUUUGUCUCUCUCCUUGGGUCAGUAAUUACUGCUUUGAGUGAGUGACUGAUAUGUGGGUUCCUGGACAGGAUUGGCUACACCAUGUUCAGGGUCAGAAGGACACAAACUCCAGGUCCCUGACAUUGCUGCCAAGGGGCUACAUUACACCACUUGGGAAUUACCAGCCCCUGAUAGAUAGAAGUAACAUAGACCUUUUUACAACAAUCCUUUCACCUUGGAACAGGUUUCAGCCUGACGUGCUACCAGUGCCCUAA